AGACAGUUGGUGCACAGUUACCCGGAGGAGGGUGAAGAGAUGCUGGUGACUGACAGCAAGGCAGGGAGAGAAAGGGAAAGCUACCUACUGAUAGAGAAUGGUGGAAACAGCACUGUAGUGAGGUAACACAGCCAAGCUAUGGAAACAUAAAGGUACCACACAAAGUGCUGUAAGGAUCGUCGUACACUAGAACACAGGAGCCGCAGAAAGCCUGUCCCAUUGAAGGCUAAAAAGUAAUCAGUGCACAAAUGACUGAUAUGCUGAAGACACCAAUGCUAUGUGCAGAAAUUCCAUUUUACAUGGCAUUUCUGCAUCAGAAAUGCCUUUUGUGGCGCUCUGACCUCAAUGAAAGUCACUGCAACUCCAGCUAAAGUAUUUACUUAGUUCAACAAUCUGUUCUUUAAUUCUGGUGGGUUUUAAUCCCUAUUGAUUGGUUAAGAGCCGAUCGUUCGCGCUGUUCCAGGAACUCUUGCACACUGGAUUUUGCCUUCCUGACC